rnacentral:rRNA from 1 species
ACCCAGACUCCUACGGGAGGCAGCAGUGGGGAAUAUUGCACAAUGGGGGAAACCCUGAUGCAGCGACGCCGCGUGAGCGAUGAAGUAUUUCGGUAUGUAAAGCUCUAUCAGCAGGGAAGAAAAUGACGGUACCUGACUAAGAAGCCCCGGCUAACUACGUGCCAGCAGCCGCGGUAAUACGUAGGGGGCAAGCGUUAUCCGGAUUUACUGGGUGUAAAGGGAGCGUAGACGGCUGUGCAAGCCAGAUGUGAAAGCCCGGGGCUCAACCCCGGGACUGCAUUUGGAACUGUGUGGCUGGAGUGUCGGAGGGGCAGGCGGAAUUCCUAGUGUAGCGGUGAAAUGCGUAGAUAUUAGGAGGAACACCAGUGGCGAAGGCGGCCUGCUGGACGAUGACUGACGUUGAGGCUCGAAAGCGUGGGGAGCAAACAGGAUUAGAUACCCGUGUAU